rnacentral:misc_RNA from 1 species
GUUUUUCCUGUCAAAGAUGGCAACAUCAUGAUUUAAAAGUUUGAACUUUAGCCUCAAGAACUACUUCAUGACAAAGAUAAUGACAUAAUAAUUAAGGAAGCUUCAGAGAGAGAUGAAAUUGGUGAGCAGAGCACAAAUUUCAUGAGUGAACAGGCAUUUAAUACAACUUCCAAUAAUAAGUGGAAGGCUGCACGUACACAUCACUAGAAAUACCCUUUUCCAUGAACAUGUGAAAAACUUGGUUUUCAACAAAAACUUGGAGGCAACUGACAAGCAGCAAAAUAUGUUAGUCUUCAAUUCUGAUUCUCAAACCUAUUGCCAAAAAACGUUUAGGAAGAGAAAACAAAAUACAUUCACAAGGGACACUCAUGUUAUGACUAAGGGAUGGAAGAGUUUGAUGAGUUUAAUUAGAUGGGCUGACUGUGAUGAGCCGGGCUGUUAUCUGUUAUUUUGUUAAGUAGUAGGUGUUAGUAUAAAUAGGAGGAAGGUACUUGUAAUUGAGGCAUUCCUAAUCAAUAACAAAUGUUGAAUUCUUCUUUCUUUCUUUCUUUCU